ensembl:snRNA U6 U6 spliceosomal RNA
GUGCUCGCUUUGACAGCACAUACACUAAAACUGGAAUGACAGAGACGAUGAGCAUGGUCCCUGCGUAAGGAUGACGUGCGAAUUCAUGAAGCCUUCCAGUUUUUU